rnacentral:rRNA from 1 species
CAGCCGCCACGGUAACACGAAGGGGGCUAGCGUCGCUCGGAAUCACUGGGCGUAAAGGGUGCGCAGGCGGGUCUUUAAGUCAGGGGUGAAAUCCUGGAGCUCAACUCCAGAACUGUCUUUGAUACUGAAGAUCUUGAGUUCGGGAGAGGUGAGUGGAACUGCGAGUGUAGGGGUGAAAUUCGUAGAUAUUCGCAAGAACACCAGUGGUGAAGGCGGCUCACUGGCCCGAUACUGACGCUGAGGCACGAAAGCGUGGGGAGCAAACAGGAUUAGAUACCCCCGUAGUCCCUGUCUCUUAUAC